CUCAGUAACACGUGGAUAAUCUGCCCUUAGGUGGAGGAUAAUCUCGGGAAACUGAGGAUAAUACUCCAUAGAUCUAGGAUGCUGGAAUGCAUCUAGAUUGAAAGCUCCGGCGCCUAAGGAUGAGUCUGCGGACUAUCAGGUUGUAGUCAGGGUAAAGACCUGACUAGCCUACGACGGAUACGGGUUGUGAGAGCAAUAACCCGGAGACGAUAUCUGAGACACGAUAUCGGGCCCUACGGGGCGCAGCAGGCGCGAAAACUUCACACUGUGCGAAAGCGCGAUGAGGGAAUCCCAAGUGUUUGCUCGUAAGAGUAAACUGUUUCUUUGUUUAAAACGCAGAGAGAGUAAGGGCUGGGUAAGACGGGUGCCAGCCGCCGCGGUAAUACCUGCAGCUCAAGUGGUGAUCAUUAUUAUUGGGCCUAAAACGUCCGUAGCCGGUUUAGUAAAUGCCUGGGUAAAUCGUGUAGCUUAACUAUACGACUUCCGGGUAGACUGCUAAACUUGAGACCGGGAGAGGCUAGAGGUACUCCUGGGGUAGAGGUGAAAUUCUGUAAUCCUAGGGGGACCACCAGUGGCGAAGGCGUCUAGCUAGAACGGGUCUGACGGUGAGGGACGAAGCCCUGGGGCACAAACCGGAUUAGAUACCCGGGUAGUCCAGGGUGUAAACGCUGCUUGCUUGAUGUUAGUUGGGCUCCGAGCCCAACUAGUGUCGGAGAGAAGUUGUUAAGCUAGCUCCCUGGGAAGUACGGUCGCAAGGCUGAAACUAAAG
rnacentral:rRNA from 1 species